GGAACCAAUUCUAGAACUCAUCCUUAUCCCGGAUCUCCCAGCUCUCCUCUGCUUCCGGAUUCCUUCCCGUCCAGCCAACGGAAACAUCCCCGAGCUCCAAGGAUGAGCAUUCAAGUCGUUCACAGCUCUAAACCCUCUGUUACCAGCCGAAUCCAGCCAUUCCCGAGCUUCUUCUCAUUCUAGAUUGAUCCUAUCAUCCAUAGGAUAAGGUUUAGGUGUUCAUUCCGAAGCUAGAUCCCAUGAUCUUCGGAUCAAACUUUCUUCCCUGCUUCCUCGGUUCAGCUUCUUCCAGACUUCACGGAAACAGCCCCUGCUCCGUGUGCCUUUCUCAACUUCCGGAUGAGAGUGAGAGCUGUCUUCCACAUGUUCGUCUUCCCAUCGUGAGCUCCACGAACAGAGCACCAUCCGCGUCUCUUCAUCUCAACUAAACUCGCAGCUCCCGUAUCCCA
rnacentral:lncRNA from 1 species